rnacentral:ncRNA from 2 species
GGAACCUACGGCAAUGGAGUCUGCCUUUUAACCGCCCCUUCGGCUGAUGACUCCUACUCAAAC